rnacentral:pre_miRNA from 10 species
UGGAGCAGGGGGGCAGGAGGGGCUCAGGGAGAAAGUGUGUGCAGCCCCUGGCCCUCUCUGCCCUUCCGUCCCCCGUUCCUGGAC